CCUACGGGUGGCAGCGGUGAGGAAUAUUGGUCAAUGGACGAGAGUCUGAACCAGCCAAGUAGCGUGAAGGAUGACUGCCCUAUGGGUUGUAAACUUCUUUUAUAUGGGAAUAAAACGUUCCACGUGUGGGAUUUUGUAUGUACCAUAUGAAUAAGGAUCGGCUAACUCCGUGCCAGCAGCCGCGGUAAUACGGAGGAUCCGAGCGUUAUCCGGAUUUAUUGGGUUUAAAGGGAGCGUAGGUGGAUUGUUAAGUCAGUUGUGAAAGUUUGCGGCUCAACCGUAAAAUUGCAGUUGAAACUGGCAGUCUUGAGUACAGUAGAGGUGGGCAGAAUUCGUGGUGUAGCGGUGAAAUGCUUAGAUAUCACGAAGAACUCCGAUUGCGAAGGCAGUUCACUGGACUGCAACUGACACUGAGGCUCGAAAGUGUGGGUAUCAAACAGGAUUAGAUACCCCAGUAGUC
rnacentral:rRNA from 1 species